AUUGAACGCUGGCGGCAUGCCUUACACAUGCAAGUCGAACGGUAACAGCACUUCGGUGGCUGACGAGUGGCGAACGGGUGAGUAAUACAUCGGAACGUGCCCGAGAGUGGGGGAUAACGCAGCGAAAGCUGUGCUAAUACCGCAUACGAUCUACGGAUGAAAGCAGGGGACCGCAAGGCCUUGCGCUCAUGGAGCGGCCGAUGGCAGAUUAGGUAGUUGGUGGGAUAAAAGCUUACCAAGCCGACGAUCUGUAGCUGGUCUGAGAGGACGACCAGCCACACUGGGACUGAGACACGGCCCAGACUCCUACGGGAGGCAGCAGUGGGGAAUUUUGGACAAUGGGCGAAAGCCUGAUCCAGCCAUGCCGCGUGCAGGAUGAAGGCCUUCGGGUUGGUUAACGUAGCUUUUGUUACGGUAACGAAAAGGUACGUUUUCUUAAUUAAAGAAGGACGUCAUGACGGUACCGUAAGAAUAAGACACCGGACUAACUACGUAGCCAGCACG
rnacentral:rRNA from 1 species